UACGUAGGGUGCAAGCGUUGUCCGGAAUUAUUGGGCGUAAAGGGCUCGUAGGCGGUUCGUCGCGUCGGGAGUGAAAACUCGGAGCUUAACUCCGAGCCUGCUUCCGAUACGGGCAGACUAGAGGUAGGCAGGGGAGAGCGGAACUCCUGAUGUAGCGGUGGAAUGCGCAGAUAUCAGGAAGAACACCGGUGGCGAAGGCGGCUCUCUGGGCCUUACCUGACGCUGAGGAGCGAAAGCGUGGGUGGCGAACAGG
rnacentral:rRNA from 1 species